AAACAAACGAGCAUGGACGGGUAGGUCUGAAUGUCAGCUGAAGUUCGUGGGCGGGCGGCCGAUACAACUCCCACGUACGUACGAUGUCUCUGAUCUCUUCCACUUUCCCAGAUUCAAGAUUCCAUUCCAGACUCCUUCUAGAGAUCCUUCACCAAGGCAAUGUCUCUUACACCUUUGAUGUUUAGGUCACUGCUGAGGCUGCUCACAUCGCUGAUUGGAGAGCCUGCGUCUUCAGUCUCGACCUUACUGUACUACAGCCGUCUUCUUCCUCAGAAUAUCGUUCUGGAGAGACUUGUUCGCCAUGAUUUGCUCGAUGGCGAAAACUAUCUCUUCCAUUUUCUUAUUAACUUCCUCAGAUGCUUCUGGUAGAUAUAUAAUCAGAUGUUGCUUGAAUUCGUGCCUUGCUGAGAUCUGAUUCAUCUGUUUUGAUGGUCUCCAUCUCCUCCAUAUAUGGAUUUAGCAAACUGAGAUAUUGGGGGGGUUCUCAAUUUCCGACUUUUUUUUUCAUAAACUGUUGCAGAAUCAUCGGAUCCUGGUUUUUUCCUCUUUCUUUAUUUGAUGGAAUUGUAACUUUGCUAAUUUAUUAGUAUAUUGAUUUUAGACUUCAAUUCAUAAUGAAUAAAGUUUUGUUUUCAGACAA